AGUGAACGCUGGCGGUAGGCCUAACACAUGCAAGUCGAACGGCAGCACAGUAAGAGCUUGCUCUUACGGGUGGCGAGUGGCGGACGGGUGAGGAAUACAUCGGAAUCUACUUUUUCGUGGGGGAUAGCGUAGGGAAACUUACGCUAAUACCGCAUACGACCUACGGGUGAAAGCAGGGGAUCUUCGGACCUUGCGCGAUUGAAUGAGCCGAUGUCGGAUUAGCUAGUUGGCGGGGUAAAGGCCCACCAAGGCGACGAUCCGUAGCUGGUCUGAGAGGAUGAUCAGCCACACUGGAACUGGGACACGGUCCAGACUCCUACGGGAGGCAGCAGUGGGGAAUAUUGGACAAUGGGCGCAAGCCUGAUCCAGCCAUACCGCGUGGGUGAAGAAGGCCUUCGGGUUGUAAAGCCCUUUUGUUGGGAAAGAAAAGCAGCAGGUUAAUACCCCGCUGUUCUGACGGUACCCAAAGAAUAAGCACCGGCUAACUUCGUG
rnacentral:rRNA from 1 species